rnacentral:rRNA from 1 species
UCUUCCACAAUGGACGCAAGUCUGAUGGAGCAACGCCGCGUGAGUGAAGAAGGUUUUCGGAACGUAAAGCUCUGUUGUUGGUGAAGAAGGAUAGAGGUAGUAACUGGCCUUUAUUUGACGGUAAUCAACCAGAAAGUCACGGCUAACUACGUGCCAGCAGCCGCGGUAAUACGUGGGGGGCAAGCGGUGUCCGGAUUUAUUGGGCGAAAAGCGAGCGCAGGCGGAAGAAUGAGUCUGAUGUGAAAGCCCUCGGCUUAACCGAGGAAUUGCAUCGGAAACUGUUUUUCUUGAGUGCAGAAGAGGAGAGUGGAACUCCAUGUGUAGCGGUGGAAUGCGUAGAUAUAUGGAAGAACACCAGUGGCGAGGGCGGCUCUCUGGUCUGCAACUGACGCUGAGGCUCGAAAGCAUGGGUAGCGAACAG